rnacentral:lncRNA from 1 species
ACCCUUCUGCGACGAGCUUAAGGAAGGAAGCCGCGGGAGGAGGCUCUCAGAGCAGAGAGAAAGAAAAGUUGUGUCAAGCAGAACUUUUUCUCAUUAAUAACACUGAGACCAUUCUUAAACUCCACCUUCUCUGGCGACACUACACACGGCUAUACUUCAUCUUCUCUCCACAUCCCUAAAGAAAUGAGAGACUCAGAAAGACACCCUGAGGUCUUAGAAUUUGCUUCCUACUGAUCAUGAACCAUCCUAAGGCUUGCUACAUCAUCUGCAAGAUGCAGGUCCUCAUGUGGCCCACCAGAGGGAACUGCAGACACAAGUAAACUGAAGAUGUCGGUGUUCACAAGACCCGUGCGUGAUGCUGGAGAUGGAACCUAACUCUGCACAAAUGUCAGUCAAAUGCUUGGACACUGAACUUACAUAGUUCCUCAGCUCUUCAGGAUCAGUUUGUAUUAAACGAAAUUGAUGCCCGAGCUGCUGCGGGUCAGAAAUACCAGCUCGGCUGUAUGGCGAUCUCACUCUGGUUGAGUGUUCUUUCUCGAAGCCUCAGUUCCAGGCAUUCCACGGUCUCUGUGACUGCUCCUCUCCAAACCAUUUCCCUCCAUAUUCUGAAGCCACCAUCUUGGCCCACGCUGCUUCUGUCUUACUGUCUGGACAGCGCUUAAAGGGAGGCUCCUCUUGUAAUGUGGGCGUCGGGAAGAUUCUGUUAAUACAUGGAAGGAGAGGUUCUACUCCAUUGAGACCGUCUACCACUGUCAUUUACGACUCCCUGCCCUGGUCACUCUGCUCUUCUGGACUCUUCCUCGCCCUACUUUAACCCUGGAUCAACCACUUCAGACACACCAUCUCCCCUGCCAGUCCCAAGCACAGCAGGCUGGCUCUCUCUGAUAGUCCCCAGAGGUUCGAACUUCUCCUGUAACCCUCUUCUCUCCCAGAGACACACAGCCCAGCCCCGGUCGACACCUCAAGGUCAUGUUCUCAGAAAGACCUAUGUAAUGGCUAUUCCUGUUUGUCAACUUGACUCUAUCUGGAAUGACCUACAAUCCAGAAUUGGAGGGCUCACCUGUGAUCCAGAUCUUGAGGCUGGAAGACACAAGUUUCUGACCUCAAUCUUAGCAUGGAGAUCUUGAGGCACAGUGGCCAUGAAAAGCUUAGGUCCAGGCAAGGUUGUAUAUGUCUUUAAUCUCAGGAGACUUGAGACAAGGAGAUCUCUGAGUUUAAGGUCAGCCUGGGACAAAAGCAAGUCCCAGAUCCAGGCAUGGUGGUAACACACCUUUAAUCUGGGCCACACCUUCUGCUGGAGGCCUACAUAAAGACAUUGGAAGGAGGAAGAUUCCCUCUUCUUUGCACUUAGCUGCCAGCACAUCUGUUGGAACCUUCUUCUACAGAUGACCAGCUGAAACAACUAGCUGGUGGGACUGAGAACUACAAGAUUCUUGGACUUCCCAUUCACAGCUGAGCAUUGUGGGACUACAGACUGUAAGUCCUCACAAUACAUCCCCUUCAUAUAGAGAGACAUUCCCUAAGCACUGUGACCUAGAGAACCCUGACUAAUGCAGCCUACCCAACUGCCCUCCCUCCCUCACUUGUGUUUUAGGAUUUAUUGUCAAUUGACGAGUGUGCAUGUGUGUAUAUGUACACGUGUAAACACACACAGAGCGCAUGCAUAGAUGUAUGCAUCAUAUAGAUAACAUACACAUAAAUAUUAUACAAUUAUAGAUAAUCUUUACAAAGUUAUAGUUUCAUUUAUGCAUUAAUUUUUGUUUCAUAAAUACAUAUUAAAAUGUGUAAGGCUAUACA